rnacentral:rRNA from 1 species
AACGAACGCUGGCGGCAUGCCUAACACAUGCAAGUCGAACGAGAUCUUCGGGUCUAGUGGCGCACGGGUGCGUAACGCGUGGGAAUCUGCCCUUGGUUCGGAAUAACAGUUGGAAACGACUGCUAAUACCGGAUGAUGACGAAAGUCCAAAGAUUUAUCGCCAGAGGAUGGGCCCGCGUAGGAUUAGCUAGUUGGUGUGGUAAAGGCGCACCAAGGCGACGAUCCUUAGCUGGUCUGAGAGGAUGAUCAGCCACACUGGGACUGAGACACGGCCCAGACUCCUACGGGAGGCAGCAGUGGGGAAUAUUGGACAAUGGGCGAAAGCCUGAUCCAGCAAUGCCGCGUGAGUGAUGAAGGCCUUAGGGUUGUAAAGCUCUUUUACCCGGGAUGAUAAUGACAGUACCGGGAGAAUAAGCUCCGGCUAACUCCGUGCCAGCAGCCGCAGUAA